GACGAACGCUGGCGGCGUGCCUAAUACAUGCAAGUAGAACGCUGAAGAGAGGAGCUUGCUCUUCUUGGAUGAGUUGCGAACGGGUGAGUAACGCGUAGGUAACCUGCCUUGUAGCGGGGGAUAACUAUUGGAAACGAUAGCUAAUACCGCAUAACAAUGGAUGACACAUGUCAUUUAUUUGAAAGGGGCAAUUGUUCCACUACAAGAUGGACCUGCGUUGUAUUAGCUAGUAGGUGAGGUAAUGGCUCACCUAGGCGACGAUACAUAGCCGACCUGAGAGGGUGGUCGGCCACACUGGGACUGAGACACGGCCCAGACUCCUACGGGAGGCAGCAGUAGGGAAUCUUCGGCAAUGGGGGCAACCCUGACCGAGCAACGCCGCGUGAGUGAAGAAGGUUUUCGGAUCGUAAAGCUCUGUUGUAAGUCAAGAACGGGUGUGAGAGUGGAAAGUUCACACUGUGACGGUAGCUUACCAGAAAGGGACGGCUAACUACGUGCCAGCAGCCGCGGUAAUACGUAGGUCCCGAGCGUUGUCCGGAUUUAUUGGGCGUAAAGCGAGCGCAGGCGGUUUGAUAAGUCUGAAGUUAAAGGCUGUGGCUCAACCAUAGUUCGCUUUGGAAACUGUCAAACUUGAGUGCAGAAGGGGAGAGUGGAAUUCCAUGUGUAGCGGUGAAAUGCGUAGAUAUAUGGAGGAACACCGGUGGCGAAAGCGGCUCUCUGGUCUGUAACUGACGCUGAGGCUCGAAAGCGUGGGGAGCGAACAGGAUUAGAUACCCUGGUAGUCCACGCCGUAAACGAUGAGUGCUAGGUGUUGGAUCCUUUCCGGGAUUCAGUGCCGCAGCUAACGCAUUAAGCACUCCGCCUGGGGAGUACGACCGCAGGGUUGAAACUCAAAGGAAUUGGCGGGGGCCCGCACAAGCGGUGGAGCAUGUGGUUUAAUUCGAAGCAACGCGAAGAACCUUACCAGGUCUUGACAUCCCGAUGCUAUUUCUAGAGAUAGAAAGUUACUUCGGUACAUCGGUGACAGGUGGUGCAUGGUUGUCGUCAGCUCGUGUCGUGAGAUGUUGGGUUAAGUCCCGCAACGAGCGCAACCCCUAUUGUUAGUUGCCAUCAUUCAGUUGGGCACUCUAGCGAGACUGCCGGUAAUAAACCGGAGGAAGGUGGGGAUGACGUCAAAUCAUCAUGCCCCUUAUGACCUGGGCUACACACGUGCUACAAUGGUUGGUACAACGAGUUGCGAGUCGGUGACGGCGAGCUAAUCUCUUAAAGCCAAUCUCAGUUCGGAUUGUAGGCUGCAACUCGCCUACAUGAAGUCGGAAUCGCUAGUAAUCGCGGAUCAGCACGCCGCGGUGAAUACGUUCCCGGGCCU
rnacentral:rRNA from 1 species